UUUUGGUGAUGAUUUUGAUGACGAGGCUGAAGGGGCAGUGGCUACCCCAUGCUGCCCGGCCCCUGCUCGCGUUUUGCGAGCGCAGGGUCAUGGCGCACGGGGUCGCCCUGUCCCGUGCUCUGAUGCCAAAGUAACGAGGCAUUUGUCUGAGAAAC
rnacentral:snoRNA from 1 species